CGCAGCCCUGCAGCCAGCACGCGCAAACACACUCCGCGGCGUGGACAGGUAGCAGGGAUUAAACAGCCUUCUGAUUUCUGAAAGGUCUGUGCGGACAAAUUCCAAUUACAUGCUUAAAAAUGCUGAAAUGUCCCUCAAGGCAGAAUGAGUCACCUUUACAAGAUGAGGACGAUUUACAGAAGGCCUGCUCCAGUAGACGGCGUACUUGUGCUUUGGCAAACACACCGUCGCUGUGUGUUAACAAGGCUAUUCAACAUAUUCGAGAGCUGCAACGAAAACUUGAAAACUGUGAGCAGUCUGCAAAUCACUUUCACAAGGCGGCCCAAAAAACAGUUGACAGCAAAGUUGAGAGGUACUGUAGAUUUUUGUGCAGGGUCUCAAGGAUUUCUGAAUUUCCUACUGCCCAAUGUGUUGAAGACUUUGGCUCAUGCUUAAGUGAGAGCCGCAGCACGCUGACGGUUCUUCAGAAUGAAGUAGGCGGGGUCCUGGUGGAGGUGAUGCGCCUGAUUGGUCGGCUUGCAGCUGAUUGGCAGGAAGCUGAAAAUGCUCUGGAGGCGGAGCAGGGGCGCCAAAGAUCACUUCAAAUGAAGAUCGAUGGCUUGUCCCUGCGGAAACAACAGCACUUCCCUGCACCAGAAGAUGAAACUUGUACUUCAGAUAUAAGUGAGAUAAGAAUGCACGUCAAACUGAAAAAAGGAGAGACUGGAAGAAGUCAGACAGAGACUGGCCCAGACAGAGAUGCUGAACCGGCAACUGAACAUGAGCAAUGCUUUCAUCGAAGAAUCUGGACCAGUCAUCAAGGAGAAACUAAAAUUGGAAGCUCAAAGCGAGUGGCCAGGUUGCGAAGCAGCUUCACAGUGACAGGAAGCGGAUGCUGUUGCAGAUUAGUCACAACAAGGAGCAGACGUACAAAGCAAACGCAGAGCUCUCCCAUGUGGCUGCAACUCACAGCGCAACCAGGACCCCAGCUGGAGCGUUUGCAGUCAUGGAGCUUCACGACGGAGCUGGAGAUCAGGGGUAAAAUGUCUGCAAUGAAGGUUGACAGGAGCAGCCAAACACAGAGAGGACACGUAAAGAACAGCAGGCAGAACUCGAAGAGGCUAAAAUUGAAGAAUUGAAGCAAAACCUGCAUGAACUCCAGAUCAGACAUAAAGCGACAAAUGCCUGUUUGGAACAGCAGAAGGACAUGCUGCAAAUGCACCUGAGUAUUCUUCAGGAAAAUUAGUUCUUUUACAGGAAGUGUUUCUGCAGCAGCUGAUACAUGUGCAAGACGGUCUGGCUGCUAAUCUCACUGCUGUACAGCAGAUGGCAUCUGGCAAAUGGGAAAUCGUCGGAGCUUAGCUCCUUCAUGGCUAAAACAAUGAUUUCUCAGUGUAACAUCAUUUAACCAGUAAUUCAAUGAAAUGUUAAUGCAUAUGAAUGUAUAUAUGUUUGUUCUCAGUUUCUCUUUUAGUCCUGAUUGUGCCACUAGUAUUAUAAAAUAUUAUUUGUUCAAUUGAUUGAAAAAAUGAUUGGCUUUCUGAGCAGGGUAGAAGAAUACUCCUUCAUGAAUAUUUUAUAUAGCAUUAUGAUUACUGUAGCACAUCAGCUAUCAGCAAUGUUAAGUGUCAUUUUCAUGUGACCCAUUCACUCAUUGGCUUAUGGAAUAGUUCCAUCACAAAUUUAACUAUUAAUUAUUAUGAAAUAAGACACAUAACACAUAAAAUAAAAUAAAUACAAAUACAACUGUAUAGGUAACCAGUUGUGAUAAGGGAGUGACACAUCGCAUUUGUUAAAUAUCAAGGAUAUAUCACACACAGUAUUGUAUACUACACAUAAUUUGUCUCAUUUUUGAGAUAACAUGCAAUUACACCUUACAUACACUUUGUAUGGCAGUUUUAUG